CCUACGGGAGGCUGCAGUGAGGAAUAUUGGUCAAUGGCCGAGAGGCUGAACCAGCCAAGUCGCGUGAGGGAAGACGGCCCUACGGGUUGUCAACCUCUUUUGUCGGGUAGCAAAGCGAGUCACGUGUGACUCAUUGAGAGUACCCGAAGAAAAAACAUCGGCUAACUCCGUGCCAGCCGCCGCGGUAAUACGGAGGAUGCGAGCGUUAUCCGGAUUUAUUGGGUUUAAAGGGUGCGCAGGCGGAGGUGCAAGUCAGCGGUCAAAGUGCGGGGCUCAACCCCGUACUGCCGUUGAAACGGCAUCCCUUGAGUGCGCGAGAAGUAUGCGGAAGGCGUGGUGUAGCGGUGAAAUGCAUAGAUAUCACGAAGAACUCCGAUUGCGAAGGCAGCAUACCGGCGCGCAACUGACGCUCAUGCACGAAAGCGUGGGUAUCGAACAGGAUUAGAUACCCCAGUAGUC
rnacentral:rRNA from 1 species